GUGCUCACUUCCGCAGCACAUAUACUAAAACUGGAAUGAUACACAGAUUAGCACGGCCCCUGCACAAGGAUGACACACACACCUGUGAAGGUUUCUACAUUGUU